CCUACGGGAGGCUGCAGUGGGGAAUAUUGGACAAUGGGGGCAACCCUGAUCCAGCCAUGCCGCGUGUGUGAAGAAGGCCCUCGGGUUGUAAAGCACUUUCAGUGAGGAAGAACGCCUGGUGGUUAAUACCCAUCAGGAAAGACAUCACUCACAGAAGAAGCACCGGCUAACUCCGUGCCAGCAGCCGCGGUAAUACGGAGGGUGCGAGUGUUAAUCGGAAUUACUGGGCGUAAAGCGCGCGUAGGUGGCUUGAUAAGCCGGUUGUGAAAGCCCCGGGCUCAACCUGGGAACGGCAUCCGGAACUGUCAAGCUAGAGUGCAGGAGAGGAAGGUAGAAUUCCCGGUGUAGCGGUGAAAUGCGUAGAGAUCGGGAGGAAUACCAGUGGCGAAGGCGGCCUUCUGGACUGACACUGACACUGAGGUGCGAAAGCGUGGGUAGCAAACAGGAUUAGAUACCCCUGUAGUC
rnacentral:rRNA from 1 species